rnacentral:lncRNA from 1 species
AUUAUGUGAGAAAUUAGCAGGCUAAUUCAGGAAGCAGCAACUGUAGCUCAGUAAAUGUAUUCUCACCAUUUGGUGGAGGGCCAAGGCGUUGUCCAGGGGCCGAGCUUGGUCGAGUCGAGCUUUCAGUUUUCCUUCACCACAUGGUCACUCGAUUUAGGUAUAUUACACUAGUGACUCCACUAUACUCGCUAGUCGUGUUAAUUUUUGAAACGUUAAACCAAUUUUUGGUAAAUUUGUUCCACAGCUGGGAGCUGGCAGAACAAGACAAGCUAGUUUUCUUCCCAACGACGCGGACCCAAAAGCGGUAUCCAAUAAUAGUUCAGCGUCGAAGUGGGUUUCAGUAGAAGAAAACUCGUAGUCAACACCCUACAUUUGUACGAAGUAAAUGAAUCUAAUAAAACAUGCAAUGUAGGGAUUUGAUUUUAUAUUUAAAUAAACUAUAUAGAAUUUAUGAUUAAUAUCUUUUUCUUUCUUUUUUCACUGCUCUCUAGUUGUUAAAUCGUCAUAGACAACGAAAACUUUGUGUUUAAACUCGAUCUAUCCUUAAAAGUCAAUGGCCGAG